UACGUAGGGCGCAAGCGUUGUCCGGAAUUAUUGGGCGUAAAGAGCUCGUAGGCGGUGUGUCGCGUCGGCCGUGAAAACCUGCAGCUUAACUGUGGGCUUGCGGUCGAUACGGGCAUCACUGGAGUUCGGCAGGGGAGACUGGAAUUCCUGGUGUAGCGGUGAAAUGCGCAGAUAUCAGGAGGAACACCGGUGGCGAAGGCGGGUCUCUAGGCCGAUACUGACGCUGAGGAGCGAAAGCGUGGGGAGCGAACAGG
rnacentral:rRNA from 1 species